AUUAAUUCGAUGCAACGCGUAGAACCUUACCUGGGUUUGACAUGGAUCGGGAGUGCUCAGGGAUGGGUGUGCCUCUUUUGGGGUCGGUUCACAGGUGGUGCAUGGCUGUCGUCAGCUCGUGUCGUGAGAUGUUGGGUUAAGUCCCGCAACGAGCGCAACCCUUGUUCACUGUUGCCAGCACGUUAUGGUGGGGACUCAGUGGAGACCGCCGGGGUCAACUCGGAGGAAGGUGGGGAUGACGUCAAGUCAUCAUGCCCCUUAUGUCCAGGGCUUCACGCAUGCUACAAUGGCUGGUACAGAGAGUGGCGAGCCUGUGAGGGUGAGCGAAUCUCGGAAAGCCGGUCUCAGUUCGGAUUGGGGUCUGCAACUCGACCUCAUGAAGUCGGAGUCGCUAGUAAUCGCAGAUCAGCAACGCUG
rnacentral:rRNA from 1 species